AGUCUACUAAGUCAUCAAAGACACUCUUCAUUUCUGUUACAGUAUUUUUGUCCUCUGGCACUUCUUUUUGGUUCUUUCUUAGAAUUUAUAUAUCUCUGUAUGUGUUACCCAUCUGUUUUUGCAUGCUUUCUACUUCAUUACCUCAGGAUCUUAAUCAUGGCUGCUUUCAGUUCCCAGUAUGAUAACAUUCUUGCUAUACUUGAGUCUGGUUUCUGGUGCUUUCUCUAUCUCUUCAAACUGGGCUUUUUACCUCUAAGUAUGCCUUGUAAUUUUACCAAGUAAAAGGAACUGCUGUAAUGGGCUUUUACUAAUGUGAUGAUAAGGUGUGCUGGGGGAAGAGACGCAUUCUACAUUCCUGCAGGUAGGUCCCAGUUUAGUGAGUCUGUGCUUCUGGACUGAACUUCACAAGUGCUUCUCAGUCCUCUGUCUUCCAUCAGGUUGGAACAGGAUGUCUCUAGUGGGCUGGAGUUGGGUAUUUUCUCUUCUCCCACUUUAGUUAGGCUCUGAUAUAUUCCCAGCAGAUUAGGCUGUGAUUAAAUGGUUUCUGGUAAGGACUUUCCUGGAGGUCCUCUGGUUAAGAUUCUGGUUAACUGCAGGGGCAAGGGCUCCAUCACUGGUCAGGGGACCCUCAUAAGUUGUGCAGCACAGCCAAAAAAAAAAAAAAAAAAAAAAAAAGGUUUCUGCUGAGGGCAGACCCUGUUAAGAACAAUAGAGUAAUCUGGCAUGUUUCAAAAUAGUUCCUUUUCCCUUCCCUCUGCCAGAAGCAUGAGCAAAUUCUUUGCUGAUCUUCACUGUGAGAACCUGCUUGAACUCCAGGAGAUAAAAGUUGUUAAACUAUGAGAGUCCACCCCUGAUCAAGUCCCCUUGGAAUUUUAAACACUCAGACUUGUCCACAUUGAGCCUCUGGCAAUUUGUCAAUUACAGUUCAGGAUUUCUACCCUGGCUCUGGUUCCCACAGAGGUUUUUGCUCUGUGUAAAAAUCUGAGCAUCAGGAUUCAACACACUCUUGGAAAGCAUUUUCUACCUCCCGCUGCUGUGCAAGCAUUUUCACUGCAAAAAGUUGUUGAGAUGCUUGAACUGGUGAUAGUCGGUUGACAAGAGGUAAGGUGAAUAUGGCAAAACUCAAUCAUUCCACUUUUGAAGCACUGGUUGUGCGAUGUGCAGUCAGGCAUUGUCCUGCAGAAGAAUUGGGGCCUUUCUGUUGACCAAUGCUGGCUGUAGGCAUUGCAGUUUUUGGUGCAUCUAUCAAUUUGCUGAGCAUACUUCUCAAAUGUAGUGGUUUUGCUAGGAUUCAGAAAACUGUAGUGGAUCAAAUGGGCAGCAGACCACCUAGACAGGGACCAUGACUUCUUUUUGGUGCAAGUUUAGUUUGGACAAGUUCUUUGGAGCUUCUUCUCAGUCCAACCAUUGAGCUGGCCAUUGCUGGUGGUUGCAUAAAAUCCACUUUUUGUUGCAUGUCACAAUCCAAUCAAGAAGUGAUUUGCUGUUUUUGAGUAGAAUAAGAGAAUAUGUCACUUCAGAGCAAUGAUUUUUUUUUUUUUAAUUUUGAUGAGCUCAUGAAGCACCCUCUCAUUGAGGUUUGCAUCUUUCCAAUUUGUUCCAAAUGCUGAAUGACUGUAGAAUGGUUGGUGUUGAGUUGUUCGGCAACUUCUCAUGUAGUUUUAAGAGGGUGAGUUUUGAUGAUUGCUCUAAUUGGUUGUCAACUUUCAAUGACCAACCACUGCACUCCUCAUCUUCAAGGCUUUUGUCUCCUUUGCAAAACUUCUUGAAUCAUCACUGCACUGUACAUUCAUUAGCAGUUCCUGGGCCAAAUGUGUUGUUGAUGUUCUGAGUUGUCUCCACUGGCUUAUGAUCCAUUUUUAACUUGAAUGAGAAAUAUAAAAUAAAUAGCAUGUAAUAAGUCAUUAGCAAAAAAAAAAAGGCAAGAAAGGUGCCUUAAAUUGAUGUAUAACAUAACCACAUUUAUUUAAGAAUGUAUGUCAGUAUCAAAUGGUGAAGUUCAACAAUGCAAAACUACAACUGCUUUGGCACCAAUCUAAUAUAGAGAACACAAUGUAUUAUUAUAUAAAUUAUGAAAUUGGAAUUAUUUUUUGCCUCUACUCUUUUUAUUGGCUUGAAAUCAUAGUUUUGCCUCUGUGUAAGUCUUUAGUCUGCAUCCUCUUAGCAGAUUUCUCAGCUGUUAGCCUGGACAUUCUCCAGAGUUCUCUCAAGUCCUAGACUCAAUGCUGCCAGUCUUCUGAGUCAGGUCCUGAUAAAUUUGUUGCAGCAGUAUUCUCAAGUGUCACAUAUGCUGCUUCCAAAAUUGAAAUAGACUAACCAAACUGUUGCACUCCUUUCUUAGUGGCAGCAUAUACAAGAUAUAAUAACCUGCUCUUUACCUUAACUGGGAUAUCCUAAAAAUCACUGGCUCUUAAGACCCUCUCUGAUGAUCUGGCCUAUAAAUGUUGGGAGGUUUAUCUUCCACCCUCUAGUUUCAAAGUGUCUGGUGAGGCCAUCCAGAGUACUUGUGCUUUAUACUUAUUGGUUCCAAUUUGUAUUUCAAAUUCUCUCUACAUAGAACCAGAGUGACACUGUGCAGAGUAUGAAGCAUCCUGUAUACUAUAUUAUGACAGAGAGCAAGCAGUUAACAAAGCCUUGGACCAUGAAUGUGAAUGCUUUUUGAUUGCCAUUGUCAUGUAAAGGCAGACUUAUUUUUAAAAUUAUAUUUAUUUGUAGGGAUGGCAAAAAUAUGUUUGAGGGAUCAGUAGAUUCCUACUCUGUGUUUUAUGUUGUGUUGACGUGUUUGAGUGAAAAUAACACAUCUACAUUACAGCUGUAAAUGGAGUCCCUUUGUUGAGUCUAUGGUAUUCCAUUGUCAUCCGUAUAGUUUUUACAAAAUAGGCCUAUCAUGUAUGAUAGAAAAAGACCACGUUAACUACACAUUUUUGUUCUGUUUGAGGAAAUAUUCCAAAGACACUCUUUAAUGCUUAUACAUUUGUCCUCUUGGUGCUUUAUUUCUCUUAGAAGUGAUGGGAACAACAAAAAUAAGAGAAUUCAUGGCCCUGAUUAUCCUUAGCUUUUUUUGUCUGGGUAAUCCAUUUUUUUUUAUAUUUAGGAUACAUUGUUUCCGGCUGAAUCACAAGAUUAUUUAAGAUGGAAAUAAUCUGUCCUAAACAUAGGUAUUAUAUUAUGUAGCUCAGGGCUUUUAAAAUCUGACUGUGGACACUUUUUUUUUUAGUAGCUCUGCUGUCCAUUUACCCAAGUAAACAGAAUUUCCAAGCAUUAGUCUAGUCAUCUGAACUUCCAGCAAACGCCUUAGCUGAUUCUUGUUCUAUUAGGUUGAAAACUUAAGAGUUAAUUGUUUCUCUUUGUCUUAAACCAUCACUUUCAAAGUUCUAUUUUGAUAAUAUUUUCUUGCUUCACUCAUACUCAUGAGAUACAUGUUAAGAUGAUAGCUUAGGGCCUAAGAAAAUAAUAUAAAUCUCGAUUAACUAAUUUUUAUUAUUAUAUAACUAUAGUCUCUUUUUCUAGAACUCUGUGGCCUUCGAACAGUAAGAUCAUCAGUUUCUGGUGCUGGUUAUUUAUGUAAUGGACUUCUUUCUCAAUUUCAUUCUUAGAAUCUAAGUUCAUACAGGAAAAGAAAUAAAUCUUUACAGAGGAUUUGGAUUAUAUCAAGUCUGUGAUUUUAAAGGUAUGGUUCUUUAGGCUUAGGAUUUUCCUUCCUUGUACACUUUUAAAUAUUACAGUAUGGUCGUAGAACUGUUUGAAGUUUGAAAAUGUGAGUCUCUUAACAUACAAAGUUGUUGUUAAUCUUAGGAUCCUAGCAUGGAAACUGAAAAACAAAGAAAGCUCUGUAUGUACUCUGUGUUAGGCCAAUCUGAAUAUAUUCACAUUACUCAAUAUCAUUUCAUGCUUUUAGCACAACUGGUUUUGCUUAUUUUUUUUAAACAAUUUUGUUUGUUUACUUAUUAGUAAUAUUUGCAAAAUUUUAAAAAUACAGAACCUCCAAAAAGAAAAAGUACAAUCUCUGUCCCAUUUCUUUUGACUAUUUCUAGUUUUAGUUCUUGUAGUUCUUCCACAAAUGUAUGUGCACUUAGCAUAAUGAGGUGGCUAAAGUGUGGAGUCUGGGUUUAAAUCCUGGCUUCACUGCUUAUUAGCUUAAUGACCUUUGGCUUAUUAACCUUUUGUAACUCUGUAAAAUAGAGAUGAAAGUAUCAACUUUAUAGAUUGUAAUACAUUACAAUAGUUUAGAAUAGUAUUUGCCAUGUAAUAUAUCUUCUUAAUACCUCCCAGUUUCUAAAUACUAUAGUUACAUCACUCUUUUUUGAAUCAUUAAUUUGAACUAUUUUCUAUUGAUGAGAUGAAGAUCACCUGGACACUCCUCUACAGCCAUUUCUGUGUGUAUUUUAGGCCAUGACGUCCUCGUUUUUACUUCACCUUUCAGUAAUUUUUUUUUUAAUCCCUUUGGCCUUUUCCAGAAAUGUGUUGGGAUCUCCUGUACUCUGAAGUUUCUCCUCCCAGUAAUUUUUUUUUAAUUUAAUUUUAUUUUUUAAACUUUACAUAAUUGUAUUAGUUUUGCCAAAUAUCAAAAUGAAUCCGCCACAGGUAUACAUGUGUUCCCCAUCCUGAACCCUCCUCCCUCCUCCCUCCCAGUAAUUUUAUCAGGUUUAUACAUUUAUUAUGUGUUUACUAUUAUUUGAGUGGAGUUUUGGAGGGAAGGAAGCAAACAAUAUGAGCUUAGUUUAUCAUGCUAUAAGAAUAGACAGCUUGUUCAAUUUAAAAUCACACAUAUGAAGAAAUCAAGAGGGAGCUAGAAGAACGCUAAAUGACACAUACUUUCAUGGAAACAAGAAAGACAGGAAUUUUUGCAAAAUUAUUUUGAGUUACCUAAUAUUUCUGAUACUUAAUUUCCCAUCUGGAAAAUAAUGUGGAUGAAUAAGAUGACUUCUAAGUUCUUUUCAACUUGACUAUUUUAUCCUUAUAUUGAUUUUAUUUUCCCUACAAAUCUCUACCUUCCUUUCUACUGAACUAUGCUGGCUUAAUCUGUUUCAGUAAAACAUAAUCUACACAUACUGCUUUCUCUUUGUAUGCCCACUAUGUUCAUGAUGGCACAUGAAAUUUAAAAGAUCUCAUAGAAACAUUUGUCAGUCUUCAAAAAUGAUCACCUUUCCCCCAAGGUUAGCAAUUAUUAAUAAAAAGGAAAGAACUUAUAAGCCUUUUAUCUUAAUUCUUAUUGAAGAUUAGGUUCAACAAUGAUCUUUUUAGUUAAUGUAUUUGGGGAAUACUUAGUUGUGUAUUUGGGGAAUAUAUGCAUAAUUUGACCUAAUAAAACUGGCAGAAUAUUACUUUCUUCAGAAACGUUUACUUAUUAUCCACAGCUGAGUUUGAUAUUCCUUCAAAAGCAAACAUCCAGGAUUCACCAUGAUUUUUCCUGUUCCUCCAUAUUCAACAUCCAGUCAAUUCACUGGCAAAUAUGCUUUGCUACUAAUGUAUAUUUAUCCAGUCUUUUCUUGACAUCAAUACCUAUACUACCCUCUGUUACUUCUCUACCUCUAGCCUCCUGCCCCAGUCUUCUAACUGGUUCCAUUGUUUUCACUCUUUUGACCUACAUUACACUAUUUUGAAAUGGUUUCCCAACACACAUAGAAAGAAAUCAAAACUCCUUCCAUGACCUGUAAUACCUUCCUAAUCUGGCCUGGUUUCUUCGCACCUCAUCUUCUAUUCAUCUCUCUCGCCGUCUUUUGCUCCAUUCCCAUGAUACUGGCUCUGGUGUUUAUCUUACUGUCAAACCCUUUGCAUCUUGUGGUCAAGCAGUUGUGGUAUCCUCUGACUAGAAUGGUCUCUCAGAUCUUUCUAUGGCUUAUCUCUUUUCCAUUUACUUCUUUGUUCCAAUGUAUCACCUCAGAAAGGACUUCAAAAAGAGCCAAGCUUGUUGUUCAGAUCUAGGUUCUCUGUUCUCUUUGUCCUAAUUUAUUCUUUUCAUGCAUUUAUCAUUUUGUGGUAGCACAUGAAUUAUUUAUGAAUAUGUAUUCAUUUAUAUUUUACUUCUCUUUAUCUCCAUCAAUCUCUCUCCAUCUCUCUCUCUUCCUCUUCUUCUCUUCCAUAGAAAGGUAAGGCAAAGGUUUUGCCUGCUUCCUUCUCUGACGUAUAGCUUUUUCUAGUACAUGCAAUAGUGCUGAAAAAAUAACGAGCUUAAAAAUGUGAUUCUUUUGAGACGAGGCAGAGUCAAGACGGUAGACUAGGAAGACUCUGAGCUCACAUUCUCCUUUGAACACAUCAAAACUACAACUAAAUACUGAGAAACUCUCACUGAGAAUAACCUGAACUAGCAGAAGCACUCUUCUAUAAAUAAGACUGUAAAGAAAGAAUCAAAUGAAGUCUAGUAGGAGGUGAGAAGACAUAUGGUUAUGUAUAGAGAAAAUAUAUAGUAAAGGCAGUGGAUCAAUCACUUAAAUAAGCUAGCAUGGAGGAUAAAUGUUAAAAAUUGUAAAGUCAACUGUAACUACAAUUAACAGUUAAGGGACAGACAUGAAGAUGUAAAGUAUGGCAUCAAACACAAAAAAACACAGGGGAAGGGUGAGUUAAAAAUGUAAAUCUUUUAGAAUGCGUUUGAACUUAAAUGACUUAUCAGUUUAAAACACAUAGAUAUAAUUAUAGGUAAACAAAUAUGAACUUCAUGGUACCACAAAUCCAAAAUCUACAAGAGAUACACAAAAAUUGGAAAGCAAGGAACCCAAAUAUAAAACUAAAGAAAAUCAUCUGACCAUAACAAGAGACAAAAAAAAAAAAAAAAAAAAGACUACAAAAAUACCCACAAAACAAGUAACAAAA